GUGGGGAAUCUUCCGCAAUGGGCGCAAGCCUGACGGAGCAACGCCGCGUGAGUGAAGAAGGUUUUCGGAUCGUAAAGCUCUGUUGUCAGGGACGAGAGACUUAUUCAGGAAAUGGGAUAAGGAGGACGGUACCUGACGAGAAAGCCACGGCUAACUACGUGCCAGCAGCCGCGGUAAUACGUAGGUGGCGAGCGUUGUCCGGAAUUAUUGGGCGUAAAGGGAGCGCAGGUGGGAUUGUAAGUCAGUCUUAAAAGUUCGGGGCUCAACCCCGUGAUGGGAUUGAAACUAUAAUUCUUGAGUGCAGGAGAGGAAAGCGGAAUUCCUAGUGUAGCGGUGAAAUGCGUAGAUAUUAGGAGGAACACCAGUGGCGAAGGCGGCUUUCUGGACUGUAACUGACACUGAGGCUCGAAAGCGUGGGGAGCGAACAGG
rnacentral:rRNA from 1 species